UACGGAGGGUGCAAACGUUGCUCGGAAUUACUGGGCGUAAAGCGUGCGCAGGCGGUUUUGUAAGCCAGAUGUGAAAGCCCCGGGCUCAACCUGGGAAUGGCAUUUGGGACUGCAAGGCUUGAGUGCGGCAGAGGAGACUAGAAUUCCUGGUGUAGCAGUGAAAUGCGUAGAUAUCAGGAGGAACACCCGUAGCGAAGGCGGCACUCUGGGCCGAUUCUGACACUGAGGAGCGAAAGCGUGGGGAGCGAACAGG
rnacentral:rRNA from 1 species